GACGAACGCUGGCGGCGCGCCUAACACAUGCAAGUCGAACGAGAAAGGAAGAGCUUGCUCUUCUAAUCGAGUGGCGAACGGGUGAGUAACGCGUGAGGAACCUGCCUCAAAGAGGGGGACAACAGUUGGAAACGACUGCUAAUACCGCAUACGAUCUGACCUCGGCAUCGAGGAUAGAUGAAAGGUGGCCUCUAUUUAUAAGCUAUCACUGAAGGAGGGGAUUGCGUCUGAUUAGCUAGUUGGAGGGGUAACGGCCCACCAAGGCGAUGAUCAGUAGCCGGUCUGAGAGGAUGAACGGCCACAUUGGGACUGAGACACGGCCCAGACUCCUACGGGAGGCAGCAGUGGGGAAUCUUCCGCAAUGGACGAAAGUCUGACGGAGCAACGCCGCGUGAGUGAUGACGGCCUCGGUGUAAGACGUCUGUUAAUCGGGUACGAAAGGACCGUUCUUGUCGAAGUAGUUAGUAAGGAGUUAG
rnacentral:rRNA from 1 species